rnacentral:rRNA from 1 species
UGGGGAAUAUUGCACAAUGGGGGAAACCCUGAUGCAGCGACGCCGCGUGAGCGAAGAAGGUUUUCGAAUCGUAAAGCUCUGUCCUAUGAGAAGAUAAUGACGGUAUCAUAGGAGGAAGCCCCGGCUAAAUACGUGCCAGCUGCCGCGGUAAUACGUAUGGGGCGAGCGUUGUCCGGAAUUAUUGGGCGUAAAGGGUACGUAGGCGGUCUAUUAAGUCAGGUGUGAAAGCGUGAGGCUUAACCUCAUUAAGCACUUGAAACUGAUAGACUUGAGUGAAGGAGAGGAAAGUGGAAUUCCUAGUGUAGCGGUGAAAUGCGUAGAUAUUAGGAGGAAUACCGGUGGCGAAGGCGACUUUCUGGACUUUUACUGACGCUCAGGUACGAAAGCGUGGGGAGCAAACAGG